ensembl:lncRNA
GUGAAGUGAAGGGAUUCCUCCAGUGUCUGCCCCACAUCUCACAGCUGACGUGAGACACUGAUGACAAAAUACCACUCUGGGUUUGAUUUAUUUCAUUUAUGUUUCCCACUGUCCCCAGUUCUUUUCUUUGUGAUAAGCUUAUUUAUCAUAAUAUUAUUUUUUUGUUUUUCUUUCAGAUUAGAGUUAUAAUAAUGAGGGUUAAUCUUCUAUAUAAAUUUUAUCCAGCACUGGAUAUUAAAUGAGUAUUUAAAUGUGUGUCUCCACAGAUUUCUUCCCUUUGAUUUAUAUGAGAAGAAUAGAUCUGUCCUGUUUCUAGUGAAGCUGAUUGUUGCAGUAUCAGAGUUUGAUAAAACCACUGGAGAAAAUUACACGGAUCUGUUCUCAUCUGUGUGCUGCUUCACAUCUUUCCCCUUUGAUGAGAAGUAUUUUGAUGAUUGCAUGGGUCAGAUGAAUCAGUGUGAUUUUCUGCUGGAUCUGUACUCCUAUGUGAAGGACUAUGAGACUCGAACAGGCAGAAGUGUCUUUCCAGCAUUACAGCCAAUUUAUCAGUCAGCUCCUGCAGUCUGGAGAAUAAAGCUCUCAGAGAGAAAGAGCUCCAUCCUCCUAGAAGUGCUGAAACUCCAAACAGAGAAGAAACCAGUAGAGCUGAUAGACUGGACAGAUGAAGAGAGUGAAGUGAAGGGAAUCCUCCAGUGUCUGCCCCACAUCUCACAGCUGAGAUUUGUUGUUGCACAGAAUGAGUCACCUGAACUGUGGAACAAAAGAAAGAGAUUUAUUCUGAAUUUACAUCUGCAAGUUGCUCUCCACCAUAAAGAGACAGUGCAAUCAUCUAUGAAGAUCCUGCUGUCAUUUGUGAAUUAUGAGAAAUCUGAUUUCCUGCUGGAUCUGUACUCCUAUGUGAAGGACUAUGAGAGUCAAACAGGCAGGAGUGUCUUUCCAGCAUUACAGCCAAUUUAUCAGUCAGCUCCUGCAGUCUGGAGAAUAAAGCUCUCAGAGAGAAAGAGCUCCAUCCUCCUAGAAGUGCUGAAACUCCAAACAGAGAAGAAACCAGUAGAGCUGAUAGACUGGACAGAUGAAGAGAGUGAAGUGAAUGGAUUCCUCCAGUGUCUGCCCUACUUCUCACAGCUGAGAUUUCUUCCCUUUGAUUUAUAUGAGAAGAAUAGAUCUGUCCUGUUUCUAGUGAAGCUGAUUGUUGCAGUAUCAGAGUUUGAUAAAACCACUGGAGAAAAUUACACGGAUCUGUUCUCAUCUGUGUGCUGCUUCACAUCUUUCCCCUUUGAUGAGAAGUAUUUUGAUGAUUGCAUGGGUCAGAUGAAUCAGUGUGAUUUUCUGCUGGAUCUGUGUUCACAUCUGAAGGACUAUGAGACUCAAACAGGCAGGAGUGUCCUUCCAGCAUUACAGCCAAUUUAUCAGUCAGCUCCUGCAGUCUGGAGAAUAAAGCUCUCAGAGAGAAAGAGCUCCAUCCUCCUAGAAGUGCUGAAACUCCAAACAGAGAAGAAACCAGUAGAGCUGAUAGACUGGACAGAUGAAGAGAGUGAAGUGAAGGGAAUCCUCCAGUGUCUGCCUCACAUCUCACAGCUGAGGAAUGCUGAGCAGUACUUCCCAUCACUAUGUAAAGUGUCCAGUGUCAAGGCAGAUCAGGUGACUCCUCUGCUCCAGGCUUUGAAUUUCACCAUCACUCUGAGUGGAAAAUUACCCAGCAGCACCUGCAGAUCUGUGGGGAGAGUUCUGGGCCUUUCACCCUCAAAAUUAAACCUGACUCUAAAGCCACAAGCCAUCUCUGUCAGAGAACUCAAACUGCUCUUCAAACACAUCAAACACCUGCAGAAGCUGAGUGUGGAAGGCAAAAUGUUAUUGAAGAUGGUCAGAGCACUGAGGUCAUUGAAUGGUUCUUUUACACUGACCACAGAGGAGCUUUCACUGGUCACAAAAGACUCUGAGCAAAAUCUCUCUCAUAUUCUGAGCAGCUUGACGUCUCUUCUGAGUCUGUUGUCUGUCCAGUGUUUGGAUCUUACUGAAUGUAAAUUAGAGGCUCUGUCUCUCACGACCCUGUUGGGUCUCCAGAAACCCCUGACUAUCAGGCUCUCUAAAGAGGUUCUUCAGCAGCUGGUUUCAGUGGUGUAUGAAGCACAGGAUGAUGGACUGGCACGCUCCUUCCUGGAGAAGGUGUCUAAUGAUCUGACUUCCUGCUCACUAAACUGGGAAGUGAUUCAUUACCUGCUGCAACAUCAAAUGCAAAAUAUCAAGUUGGACUUCAGCAAGAGCAAAAUACCUUGUGAAAACAUCAUAGAACUUUUGCCUUGGUUAGGCAGAAUCCAGUGGAAAAGGUUGAGCCCCAGCUUUAAUCUGUCCAUCAUUAUGGAGAUUUACGAGACUCGUUUCCCUCAGUAUGUGUCCAGUCUGAUGACUUCAGCAGGAAAUUAA